rnacentral:rRNA from 1 species
AGCGAACGCUGGCGGCAGGCCUAACACAUGCAAGUCGAACGGAUCCUUCGGGAUUAGUGGCAGACGGGUGAGUAACGCGUGGGAACGUGCCCUUUGGUUCGGAACAACACAGGGAAACUUGUGCUAAUACCGGAUGUGCCCUUCGGGGGAAAGGAUUUAUCGCCAUUGGAGCGGCCCGCGUUGGAUUAGGUAGUUGGUGAGGUAAAGGCUCACCAAGCCUACGAUCCAUAGCUGGUCUGAGAGGAUGAUCAGCCACACUGGGACUGAGACACGGCCCAGACUCCUACGGGAGGCAGCAGUGGGGAAUCUUGCGCAAUGGGCGAAAGCCUGACGCAGCCAUGCCGCGUGAAUGAUGAAGGUCUUAGGAUUGUAAAAUUCUUUCAGCAGGGACGAUAAUGACGGUACCUGCAGAAGAAGCCCCGGCUAACUUCGUGGCAGCCGCCGCCGU